AAAGGAAUUGACGGGGGCCCGCACAAGCGGUGGAGCAUGUGGCUUAAUUCGAGGCAACGCGAAGAACCUUACCUGGGUUUGACAUGUAUUGGACAGCUGUAGAAAUACAGUCUCCCGCAAGGGUCGAUACACAGGUGCUGCAUGGCUGUCGUCAGCUCGUGCCGUGAGGUGUUCGGUUAAGUCCGGCAACGAGCGCAACCCGCAUCAUUAGUUGCUACCAGGUAAUGCUGGGCACUCUAAUGAGACUGCCUGUGUUAAGCAGGAGGAAGGCGCGGAUGACGUCAAGUCAGUAUGGCCUUUAUACCCAGGGCUGCACACGUGCUACAAUGGGCGGCACAGAGGGAAGCAAAGUCGUGAGGCGGAGCAAAUCCUGAAAACCGUCCCUAGUUCAGAUUGGAGUCUGCAACUCGACUCCAUGAAGCCGGAAUCGCUAGUAAAGGCGUAUCAGCUACGACGCCUUGAAUACGUUCCCGGGCCUUGUACACACCGCCCGU
rnacentral:rRNA from 1 species